GUGUGUGACUAAAUCACAGUCCGGAACGUGGCCGAUCUCAUCAGACCUCAGAAGCUAAGCAGGGUUGAGCCUGGAUAGUGCUUAGAUAGCGCGACUUCCAUGCAUCACAGGUGCUAUAGGCU
rnacentral:rRNA from 1 species